rnacentral:rRNA from 1 species
UACGGAGGAUGCAAGCGUUAUCCGGAAUUAUUGGGCGUAAAGCGUACGCAGGUGGACAUACAAGUCUGCUGUCAAAGUACAGAGCUUAACUCUGUAAAGGCGGUGGAAACUGGAGUGCUUGAGGGUGGGAGAGGUAAGCGGAAUUCCUGGUGUAGCGGUGAAAUGCGUAGAUAUCAGGAGGAACACCUGUGGUGUAGACAGCUUACUGGACCACUUCUGACGCUGAGACACGAAAGCGUGGGUAGCAAACAGG